rnacentral:rRNA from 1 species
AUGUUCGGUGAGGCCGGCGACUACGACGGCAUCCAGUUCGUCUUCAAGAAGAUGCGGGAGACCGGCAAGUUGGGGCUGGCCCGCAGCCUGUUCGAGGAAAUGUCCGCCGAGGGGGUCGAGCCCAACGAGCGCACACCGCGGUGGCCAAGAUCUGUUGCCGGGCACGCUGGGGACGCGACGUGCUCCAGCUCUGGGACAAGAUGCGCGACAAGAAGAUCCCCGCCCACAACAUCCUCUGGAACACGCAUGUGCGCCGACGUGGGGCUGGUGGCUGAGGCCGAGCAGUUCUUCGAGGAGAUGAAGCUGGACAAGUGGAGCUACACAGCCAUCAUCAACAUCUAUGGGAGCAUCAAGGACGCCAACCGCGCACUCCAGUUGUUUGUGGAAAUGCUACAGAGCGGCAUAGAGGCCAACAUAAUGAGCUACACCAUCGUGAUCCAGUGCCUCGGCAAGGCGAACAGGAUACAUGACGCCGUUCUUUCGCCGCGUUUCCGGAUUAGGGGGGACUGGCCGAACCGCGACCGCGCCUUCGCCACGGCUGAGGGGAGCGAAAGCCACACCGCCGCACUCCCGGCCACGGGCCACAACCUGCGGGUCUUCGUCCGUCAGGGCCUGGACGCUUCUACUACUCCACUCCUUGUGCGAACACAUCGACACAUAUUAGCGCCCGACUGUGCCACCAAGCUCAAAUCAGGGGCUGCAAGAUUCCAUCACGAGUCUUCGUGUGGUGGUCUUGGUCUUGGAUUGACUAGAGGGAGGCAAUUGACGUGCAUGUCAAGAGGAGUUAUUCUGUGGCAACCCACAGAAAUGGCCACGGAUCCCCACGGACGCCGCCACUGCCGCGGAUCCCCACAGAUGAUGCAGACGCCGCCGAACAGAGCAGGAUGUGGUCGUGUUGCACUGAUUGGAGGAGACCGUGCCGGCUGUGCGCUGUUUGGAGGACGAACACAGGGAAGCUCCUCCUGCUGCUAUAUUGACCUCUACUUGAAGUCGGGAGCCAAAUUGAAGAUCAAAUUCAGAUUGGAAGGUGAACUUCUGUUUUCUGCGAAGUUUAGAAUCUCGUUGUUUGCUAUGCCUGCCGGCUGCCGCUCAUGUACUGCACAUGCAGUGUGA